GGUUAAGCGACUAAGCGUACACGGUGGAUGCCCUGGCAGUCAGAGGCGAUGAAGGACGUGCUAAUCUGCGAUAAGCGUCGGUAAGGUGAUAUGAACCGUUAUAACCGGCGAUUUCCGAAUGGGGAAACCCAGUGUGUUUCGACACACUAUCAUUAACUGAAUCCAUAGGUUAAUGAGGCGAACCGGGGGAACUGAAACAUCUAAGUACCCCGAGGAAAAGAAAUCAACCGAGAUUCCCCCAGUAGCGGCGAGCGAACGGGGAGGAGCCCAGAGCCUGAAUCAGUGUGUGUGUUAGUGGAAGCGUCUGGAAAGGUGCGCGAUACAGGGUGACAGCCCCGUACACAAAAAUGCACAUGCUGUGAGCUCGAUGAGUAGGGCGGGACACGUGGUAUCCUGUCUGAAUAUGGGGGGACCAUCCUCCAAGGCUAAAUACUCCUGACUGACCGAUAGUGAACCAGUACCGUGAGGGAAAGGCGAAAAGAACCCCGGCGAGGGGAGUGAAAAAGAACCUGAAACCGUGUACGUACAAGCAGUGGGAGCAUGCUUAGGCGUGUGACUGCGUACCUUUUGUAUAAUGGGUCAGCGACUUAUAUUCUGUAGCAAGGUUAACCGAAUAGGGGAGCCGAAGGGAAACCGAGUCUUAACUGGGCGUUAAGUUGCAGGGUAUAGACCCGAAACCCGGUGAUCUAGCCAUGGGCAGGUUGAAGGUUGGGUAACACUAACUGGAGGACCGAACCGACUAAUGUUGAAAAAUUAGCGGAUGACUUGUGGCUGGGGGUGAAAGGCCAAUCAAACCGGGAGAUAGCUGGUUCUCCCCGAAAGCUAUUUAGGUAGCGCCUCGUGAACUCAUCUCCGGGGGUAGAGCACUGUUUCGGCAAGGGGGUCAUCCCGACUUACCAACCCGAUGCAAACUGCGAAUACCGGAGAAUGUUAUCACGGGAGACACACGGCGGGUGCUAACGUCCGUCGUGAAGAGGGAAACAACCCAGACCGCCAGCUAAGGUCCCAAAGUCAUGGUUAAGUGGGAAACGAUGUGGGAAGGCCCAGACAGCCAGGAUGUUGGCUUAGAAGCAGCCAUCAUUUAAAGAAAGCGUAAUAGCUCACUGGUCGAGUCGGCCUGCGCGGAAGAUGUAACGGGGCUAAACCAUGCACCGAAGCUGCGGCAGCGACGCUUAUG
rnacentral:rRNA from 1 species